rnacentral:tRNA from 3 species
GCGCCCGUAGCUCAGUUGGAUAGAGCGUCUGGCUACGAACCAGAAGGUCGGGAGUUCGAAUCUCUCCGGGCGCACCA